GAUGAACGCUGGCGGCGUGCCUAAUACAUGCAAGUCGAGCGAACAGACGAGUAGCUUGCUCCUUUGACGUUAGCGGCGGACGGGUGAGUAACACGUGGUUAACCUACCUAUAAGACUUUGAUAACUUCGGGAAACCGGAGCUAAUACCGGAUAAUAUUUCGAACCUCAUGGUUCGAUAGUGAAAGAUGGCUUUUCUAUCACUUAUAGAUGGACCUGCGCCGUAUUAGCUAGUUGGUAAGGUAACGGCUUACCAAGGCAACGAUACGUAGCCGACCUGAGAGGAGGAUCGGACACACUAGAACGGGACCAAGGCACAGACUCCAACGGGAGGCAGCAGAAGGGAAUCUAACGCAAAGGGAGAAAGCCAGACGGAGCAAAGCCGCGUGAGUGAUGAAGGUCUUCGGAUCGUAAAACUCUGUUAUUAGGGAAGAAAAAACGGGUAAGUAACUGUGCACGGCUUGACGGUACCUAAACAGAAAGCCACGGCUAACUACGUG
rnacentral:rRNA from 1 species